CCUACGGGAGGCAGCAGUAGGGAAUUUUCCACAAUGGACGAAAGUCUGAUGGAGCAAUGCCGCGUGAGGGAUGAAGGUCUUCGGAUCGUAAACCUCUGUUGUAAGGGAAGAAACUCCCGGAUAGGAAAUGAUCCGGGUCUGACGGUACCUUACCAGAAAGUCACGGCUAACUAUGUGCCAGCAGCCGCGGUAAUACAUAGGUGGCGAGCGUUAUCCGGAUUUAUUGGGCGUAAAGAGUGCACAGGUGGUUUAUCAAGUCAGGCGUUAAAGCCCGGGGCUCAACUCCGGUUCGCGUCUGAAACUGAUAGACUAGAAUGUCGGUGGGGUUAGUAGAAUUCCAUGUGUAGCGGUGGAAUGCAUAAAUAUAUGGAGGAAUACCAGUGGCGAAGGCGGCUAACUGAACGAUUAUUGACACUUAAGCACGAAAGCGUGGGGAGCAAAUAGGAUUAGAUACCCUAGUAGUCCACGCCGUAAACGAUCCAGACUAGACGUUGGGGUUACCCAGUGUCACAGCUAACGCAUUAAGUCUGGCGCCUGAGUAGUAUGCGCGCAAGCGUGAAACUCAAAGGAAUUGACGGGGACCAGCACAAGUGGUGGAGCAUGUGGUUUAAUUCGAUUAUACGCGAAGAACCUUACCUACACUUGAAAUGCUUGGCAAUGCUAUAGAGAUAUAGCGGAGGUCAACCAAUGCACAGGUGGUGCAUGGUUGUCGUCAGCUCGUGUCGUGAGAUGUUCGGUUAAGUCCGGUAACGAGCGCAACCCCUAUCUUAUGUUACUAACAUUCAGUUGAGGACUCAUGAGAGACUGCCUGUGCAAGCAGGAGGAAGGUGGGGAUGACGUCAAAUCAUCAUGCCCCUUAUGUGUAGGGCUACACACGUGCUACAAUGGUCGGUACAAAGGGUUGCGAUAUCGCGAGAUGGAGCCAAUCCCAUAAAGCCGAUCUCAGUUCGGAUAGGAGUCUGCAACUCGACUCCUUGAAGUUGGAAUCACUAGUAAUCGUAGGUCAGCAAUACUACGGUGAAUACGUUCUCUGGUCUUGUACACACCGCCCGUCAAACCACGAAAGUCGGUAAUACCUAAAACCUGUGUCCUAACCGUUUACGGAGGGAGCAGUCUAGGGUAGGAUUGAUGAUUGGGGUUAAGUCGUAACAAGGUACCCCUACCGGAAGGUGGGGGUG
rnacentral:rRNA from 1 species